rnacentral:lncRNA from 1 species
UUUUUUUUUUUUUUGUGGACAACUACUAAGGUUCAUGACCCUUUUCUAGUUAAAUUCACAUUAGAGAACUGCAAUUCCUUGCAGGAAAGCAAUUGAAUUUGGGCGACAUAAUAUUUGAGAAAUAGAGAUUUUAGCCACCGUAUACCUUAGGUGACAAUUACGCAUGCCUUCUAAUUCAGCAUCAUUUUUCACAGCCUUAGCCAGAGAGACAGGAGAACUUCUAUAUACUGCAUAUCGCCCACUGGAUUCACCAUUGGAUCUCUCAAUUUCAUUUUGAUAUCCUCGCCCAGAAAAAUAUUUAUCACAUGCAGAUCUAUAAGUAUUUACAAUAGCAGCAUUGAUGGAUGAUGUGUCAAGCCAAAGUCCAGCUCCCCUUUCUGCCAAACUGAAAAUAGGAAGAUCAUUCAUUAACAAAUUAAAUUAUGAUUGGGGUCUAAUCCACUAAUACUGAGGAAAAGCCAAAAAUGGUAAGACAUUCCAAUAAGUGGUCCAACUUGAACCUUUUGUCUUUCCAUAUGUGAAUGUUUUUUACAAGCACAGUGCACAACAAUCUGAUGCACAAAUUUGCUAUCGGUUCCUCAGUCUUUGAGUCAGAUAUUUAGACAUGUGUCCAAAAUUCAAGUUCAUAUGUCUCAUUCAACCAAUAUAUUUCAUAUUAGUUUUUGUAUACUACCGGAAUUAGGUCCCUAUUCGGGCAGCAGAAACUCCAUUUAAGGUAUCACCUAAUCCAGAAACUAAAUCUAGUGGAUAGAAAAGUAAGGCCCUAUUUGAUAACUCAAUUUUCAAACUUCAAUUUUAUCAAACGCACCCUAACUUAUUUCAUUAAGCACUCUAUUGAGCCCAUUCAUGUGCUACAUAUUCCUUUUGAUGACCGAAGCACAUGCAUACGUUAUGGGAACACCUUAGCUGUCUUUAAUACCACAUUCAAUGACCAAGCAAGCUUUUGGCUGAGGAAGGAGUUCAAAAAAUGAGAAGCUAUAAACAGAACAAGGUUAAAACUGCAAGAAAUUCAGAUGAACAUGCAGGAAAUGUCAAACAACUACAAGUUACCUUUCUAUUUCAGAGAGAAUAGAUUCAUAAGGACACAAGUCUAUUCCAGCAUUUUUCAGGUAUUCCAUCACUUCGGAAGUGACUUUAGAAUUAUCAGUGAAUAGCUUAGCUCCAUCAAUCUCCACAAUUAAAUAGGCAUACAUGACUGGUGAAUGUGGAAUGUCCUUACCUCUCUGUUAAAGAAAAGUUAGUGCAUUAAAAACAAAAAACAAAAAUACCCAGAUGAAUACUAAGAACUAACAUGGCAAAAAAUUUAAGUUUUAAUUUUUUCCGCAUAAAAAAAUGUAAAGAUAGAAAAAAGUACAAGAAAUACAAAAAAAAAGCACCAUGAUUAUAGGUUCAGUUGUACAAUCCAUGGUACGCAAAUAAUUAUGAACAGCUACAUAUUGUAAUGCUGGUAAACUGCCUACCCUUGAAAGACAACUAUCUAGGAAGAGGGGCAAUGACAAAUAGACUUUCUAAUCCAAUAACGAUGCCUAAGUUACUUUGUGCACUGUCCUGAUGAAUUUGGUACACAGGCAUAAAACAAAAUACAUUAGAAUGGCAUAAUCUGUACCUCCAACACUCAAUUUAAAAGGAUGCCAAAAACAGGAAGUCCCACAAUUAGCUCACAAUCAAGCAACUAAUUUUGGUCGUUGAAGUUCCAUAUAUUUUUUCUCUAGAUGUUGCCAUCUUUCAUUAAGCAUUUUGUUCACACCAUAGUUUUUCCAGCAUAGACUAGAAAUACAAUACACUGUUGAUCAUUUGCCUGAUCUUCCCUGACCAUCCAUUAACCAACCAAUGAAAAGACUAGCAGCAGCAAGAAGUCUCUUUAUACAGUUUCAAAUACCUUAAUAAACACACUCUUGGGUUCAAAUGUGACACAGAAUGAUAUGAAACUUAAAUUUUCAUGCUAAUAUUAAGCUCCAGGGAUGGAUUUGGUCAUCUACAUCUGCUUGAAGGAUAAGCUUAAACAGAAUUCAAACAGAACUACCAUUAGUUAAUGUAGCAUUAAACAGAAUUCAAACAGAAGCAUUACUCUAUUUAGGGUUAGGGGAUGGCAACAAGCUAGGAUACUGAUUUGAUGCCUUCUAAUUUGCAAUUACAAACAUCAAGCAACACAAAAGUAUUUCAAAUAUUUAGGCUAGCCAAGUGGAUGAAAUCUAAUACCAGAUUCAGCAGCCAUGCCACUUCAUCGAGCAUAGAGAUAACAAUUGCAGAGGCACCAGCACCAGCCAAUUCAGAUCUAAGAGAAGACAGCUUUGAUGACACGUCUAGACCUGCAUAUUUUAGAUCAUGCAAUCUGAUUGGCUUGUUGGGAGCUUUUGGUCUUGAUGCUUUCCAUACUUCAUCCACAAGAUUGCAAUCAUACAAGUAGACCAACUCAUGUUUUCGUUUCGAAAUAGCCUCUUUCAGUUCUUCUGCAGCAUCAGAAGAAAACAAAAACUGAUAUUCACAAAAAGAGAGAAAAAAAGGCAUAAGAAAGAAGCCUAAACCAGAAUAACAAGGACACACAGAAGCAAACUAUUGAACUCUUUCACCCACAACAGCAUUUUUUCGCUCGUAAUAGAUAAACUACAAUAAACAUUUCUGACAGAAUGCUUUAAUACAUCAGAAAACAGGCCAAAAGAUAAAUAUACAUAGUGAUAAUCCAUGAGAGAAGGAUAAGAAGUAAUUCAGAUACUAUCAGCAAAAUCUUUGCAUAUCCUUCGAAACCCCAAAAUAAAACAGCAGCCUAUAGCAGAAAUGAAACAGCCAUUUGAAUGGAAAUUUUGCAAGAUAAAGUAUUGUCUAACUUGUUUAGCAGCCUAUAGCCCUUCUAUCUUCACUACAAAUUGUCCACUCAAACUGUCACAUUCCAUUUUGAUCAAAUUCAUAACAUACAUGUUCUAAGUCAGUAUCCAGUCAACACUCAACCUCACAACUCAUGAAUUAAUUGCUUAAUGCUUAAUGAUGACCUCGUCAAAAUCAAUGCAUCUACAAUUAAAGAAAGCCUUUGUGGCUUCAAUCAAGUUGAGAUCUGAAGGGAAAAAGGUUGAUGCUUUCUCUUAUAAAUCACAAUUGCAGAUAAAAAUUAACAGUCUACAGAAAAUUACGCUCACAUCCCAGUGUCACAAAGAUCAAGUGUAUAACUCACAGGAUCAAUUCCGAUUCUACACCCAGGAGCCAGCACACUGUUAAGCCACUCACUGGUGGUAGGCACUCCCAUAUUUCCAGCCCGCAUUAGAAUCCAGCUAGAGCUGAGUUGCUGCUCUGCCUGAUCAUCAGAAAAAGAACAAGCUUAUCAGACAUUCGUUUUAAAAGCAUAAGCAAUAUUAAAACAAUUGACUCUAACCAAUAUGGCAUUCAGACCUGGAGAAAGUAUCGCCCAUCCGUCCAAAGAGCUGCUUUGUCCUUUGUAACAACUGCAGUGCCAGCACUCCCCGUAAAACCAGAUAUAUAGGCUCUCCUCAUAUAACAUUCUGCAAUGAACUCGCUCUAGCGGAAAAAAAAAAAGGACAUUGCAUUACAUUUGCUUGUCAGAAACAGGUGCAAAGUGUCAGUAGUUGUGAUGAUUCCUUGCUUAACCCCAAUAAAUCCGUUUGACUGGAGCUAUUUUUCAAAAACAAAAAGAAACAUGCUUUUUGAAUACUCCAAACACGUUCUUCAACCACCUUUCUUGUAUCACAUACACAUUUACCCAAAAACAGCUACAUCAAAAUUUUCUAAAGCAGCGGAAAAAAAAAAACCAUCCAAACGGAUACUAAACCAAGUAGAAAGUCCACUAAAAGCAGAAAGUUAACGGCUUUUUUGGGUUUUAUUGCGAAAAGAUUAAUAACCAAUUCAAUAUAAAGAUACUAUAAGCAAAAAGUUGGAAAAUUUACCUGAUGGGCGUCUUGGGAAGGGAUGAUAUAAGCGUCGAUAUUAAUAUUGGGCUUGGAGAAAAGCUCCCGGAGGUCCCCGAGCUUCUGGUCGGAAUCGGAGCAGGAGUCAGAGUCAUUUCCCCGCUUCUUUCGGAGCUCCGAUGAGGGUUUGGCGGUUAUGGAGCCGGAGGAAUUACGGACGAUGAAGGUGGGGUAAGUUUUCGAGUUUUGGGGAAAAUUGGGGUUGAUAAAGUUGAAUUUGUGGGAAAUGGGGAAGGAAAAUGAGAAAUUACGAAAUUUAGGGAGGAAGCAAUAGUGCGAAUUGCGGAGAUGAGGAGUGAGAGAAUGCAUGAUCAUGGCUGUAGAGAGAGAAAGUGCAAGCGACGACGACGAUGAAGAAGCUGUGGCCAAGAAAGUUCGAGCCGUAAAGACUUAAAGUGCCGUCGUUUUCGUUUUUUCCCUUUUCCUUCAGGAAUUAGAACUGGAGAGAGCUAUACGAUGUCGUAAUUCGUAAUGAACUGAUCGAUUAGGAUAAAUUUUUUGCUUCCUUAUACUAUACUAGUUUUUUCAGCCUCACGCAUCGCUUGAGGAUGCCUGGAUCUAUGUUAAUCAAUAUCAAAUGAAGGCAAGUAGAUUAAUGUAAAAUGUUUAUAUAUUAAUACAUGAUAAUUGUUAAAUAAAUGUGGAGAGUUUGACUUUAUGUAAAUUGAAUAUUGCUGUUAUUCAUUUACUCAUUUGAUUUGUAAUUUUCUCUUGAUACUAUAAAUAAAUGAUGCAUUCAUUUGAAAUGUACAAUUACAUACAAAUAUCAUAAAUAUGGUGACGCUGAUCACUUUUAAAAUUAUGCACACACUAUUUGUAUCUAGUCAAGAAUGAAAUAAGUUUAAACAAGUAAAACCCUUCGUGAAACUUAUUGUGAAUAAACACGAUGGUGAUAUCAAUAAUUUAAAAGAACAAUCAUCACAUUUCUACGCAAUAAAAAAUGUCAAGAAAUUAAGAAUUAUUCAUGAUGUAGUAAAACAAAUGUGCUUCUAGUAAUUGUAGUAAAAAAUAUCAUAUUGACAGGUGUAGUUUCUUGUAGUAAUCUUUCCAAUAAAACGCGUAUUCCCAAACUUCUUGCACUCAUUGCAACAAUUUUUGGGUGUAGUACGUAGAUCAUCGUCAUCAUUUUUCUUCUUUGCAUCUCUUUUUUUGUGCAGAGACCAUUAAUCAAUGACGAUGAACUUUUCCUUCUUUUCUUUUGUCAAGCAUUCUUUGAAGUAGAACAAAUUAUAGUAAUCUUGAGACAUGCAACAUGUAGUAUAUUUUACCUUAUAACCUUAAUAGCUAAUUGGACCUUAACUACCAUUUGAAUCCCGUGAGAUGCCUGGAUUUCCGCUUGAAUUUGCUACGAAAUAUCUAAGUAUUUGAUUGGACUUGUUGCCAAUUUCUGAUACAUUUGUGGGAAUGCAUUAGUAGGAGAAUUACUUAGGAAGUACUAAACAAUAGCUAGGAACAACCUCGAGAAAUAUAUCAUACUCAGAUUCACUGCAAUGUAUUAUCUCUAUUUUCGCAAAUGCAAAGCAAUAGUAUCCCUGCAUCUACAGCCAAGCCAUUGAUCAACAAUUGGACGUGUUUUUCAAAGGGCAAUGGUUUACAAAUAUUUGGUGCAAUAUAUAAAUCACUAAUCAACAAUUACAAAGAUGUCAAUGAAAGCUUUUGUUUUGGAAUUGCAUAUGCAAUACUUCUCUAACCUUUAUAAGUCAACAAAUUAACAGAUACAGACCCAGUUAAGGGGCGCUGUUAAUGCCAUAGUCCAUUUUUCAAUUUCACAGCCAUUUUUAUACAAAAUGUCAAAAUUACCCUUCUCAAUUCCAAAUGAAAUUUGGACUUAGAUUGGGUAGUUUUGUAAUUGUACAUAAACUGGUCGUGGAAACAAAAUAGAAGCUGUGGCAUUAUCAUUUGUUCCAGUGACCUACUGUAUUUGUUAUAAUAAUAGAGAUAAUCUAGCAAAGAGCAAAUUACAAACAGUCAAAUUUUGGUUCAAUUUAAGCAUGUACAUGGAUGCCAAAUCUAUAUGAAUUUUAACGCAAAUCUAUAUACCAUUUUAGUUUUACGUUUUAGUUGAAGUCGUUUUGGGUUGUUUAGUAACGAAGUGCCAUAUUAGCAGUUAGUUAGUUAGCAGUAAUCAAGAGGUUAGCAAAGAAUUUGCCAGUUAAUUAUAUUGAGUAGAGAAAUUUCAUUAUGUUUAAAGCCUUGAGAAUGAUUUUUAAAAAAAAAUUUUCCCAAUAGAAAAUGGAUGUGACUUAAGUAGUGAAGAGGAAGCAGAUUAUGAGUGCAAAGUUCCCUUGUGCUGCCAAACAUAUAAAAGUUGGGAAACACGCGAGCGAAGGAACACGCGGACAGGUACUACAAAUGCGGAGGAGAUGGAUGUAAGAUGGGUAUAUAACAAACAAAACCGAUGAGGUUGGCACUUCCAACUCUGCCGAUCACAGCAAAAUCGCAGAGCUAGUGUUGCACAGGCUAAGAAACGAACGAGAUUGGUGGAGGGAAUUAAAUAUAAGAUAGGUAUAUAUCUUUACUACAAAAUCAGAUUGCCCUCGGCGGAGGAGAUGGAUAGAAGAUGGGUAUAUGACAAACAAAACUGAUGAGGUUGGCACUUCAAACUCUGCCGAUCACAGGAAAAUCGGAGAGCUAGUUUUGCACAGGCGAAGAAACGAACGAGACACAGUAAUGCUCAUUGAGAAGAAAGAUGUUCCAAAUCAUGCUGCCUAGAAGCGGCCGAACAAAAGGAGUAAGCAGGAGGGGUUGGACCAAAAGGUGAAUGAGGCUUUUCGCUCCUUUCCUUCUUUAGUCGGAAGUUGGUACCAGGCCGGGAAAACAGUUCCAGGCCUUAAGAGCUUAAGAGGAGAUCGAAUUCUCCCCGGAACUGGAAGAUCAUUACCAGCGGAUAUGCUUUUUUUUUCCCCACAGGUAGCCAAGGAUUUCGAGUCCCGAUACCCUUCGAAAGUACCUCUUGAUACCAAUCCGGGGUCUAUCUCUCUUAAACCAACCAACUCUCUAGGGAAAAAAUCGUCUGGCUUAAGGGCAUGAGUUUACCAUUACUUCGGAUACCUCUUCUCAUAGCACCAAAGCUCUAAAUUCCUGUCUCAGAGGCCGCUAUAGAGCUCUAGGAAAGCUCUUUAGCAUAGGCCUCGACUGUUUUAACAGCCACCGCGCCAUCCACAAGAAAGUCUGGCCACGCAGACAGCAUCGAAGUUCCA